rnacentral:rRNA from 1 species
UACGGUAGGGUGCAAGCGUUGUUCCGGAAUUAUUGGGCGUAAAGAGCUCGUAGGCGGUCUGUCGCGUCGGCUGUGAAAUCCCGAGGCUCAACCUCGGGUCUGCAGUCGAUACGGGCAAACUAGAGUAUUGCAGGGGAGACUGGAAUUCCUGGUGUAGCGGUGAAAUGCGCAGAUAUCAGGAGGAACACCGGUGGCGAAGGCGGGUCUCUGGGCAAUAACUGACGCUGAGGAGCGAAAGCGUGGGGAGCGAACAGG